UUUAACGCGAAGGACCUUACCCACCUUUGACAUGGCAGGAACUUACCAGAGAUGGUUUGGUGCUCGAAAGAGAACCUGCACACAGGUGCUGCAUGGCUGUCGUCAGCUCGUGUCGUGAGAUGUUGGGUUAAGUCCCGCAACGAGCGCAACCCUUGCCAUUAGUUGCUACAUUCAGUUGAGCACUCUAAUGGGACUGCCGGUGACAAACCGGAGGAAGGUGGGGAUGACGUCAAGUCCUCAUGGCCCUUAUAGGUGGGGCUACACACGUCAUACAAUGGCUGGUACAAAGGGUUGCCAACCCGCGAGGGGGAGCUAAUCCCAUAAAGCCAGUCGUAGUCCGGAUCGCAGUCUGCAACUCGACUGCGUGAAGUCGGAAUCGCUAGUAAUCGGGAUCAGCAGUCCCCCCGG
rnacentral:rRNA from 1 species